UACGUAGGGUGCGAGCGUUGUCCGGAAUUACUGGGCGUAAAGGGCUCGUAGGCGGCCAACUAAGUCCGACGUGAAAUCCCAAGGCUUAACCUUGGAACUGCGUCGGAUACUGGAUGGCUUGAAUUCGGGAGAGGGAUGCAGAAUUCCAGGUGUAGCGGUGAAAUGCGUAGAUAUCUGGAGGAAUACCGGUGGCGAAGGCGGCAUCCUGGACCGACAUUGACGCUGAGGAGCGAAAGCUAGGGGAGCAAACGGG
rnacentral:rRNA from 1 species